rnacentral:tRNA from 1 species
GGAGGGUUGCCGGAGUGGUUAACGGAGCAGUUUGCUAAACUGUCGACUCGCAAGGGUCGCAUGGGUUCGAGUCCCAUACCCUCCGCAA